rnacentral:lncRNA from 1 species
UCAAGUGGUCCAUAUUUUUCAGAUUUAAUUGAUUUUUAUUUUAUUCCUUUUAUUUUCAUUAAUUCAUAUUAAAUUUAAUAUUGAUCCAAAAAAUAUGAGAGUUUCACCAAAAAAAUUUAAAUAAAAUCCUGUUUUAUUUUCUGAAUUAAAAUUAUUUUUUGCAUCAUUAUUAAUAUUUUUCAUGAUUUAAUUUAUUUUGUGAAUAUUUUUAAUUUUU